CUCGGUUCCUGUACUUGAGACAGCACUGCUGGUGUCUGUCCUGCCUGCUGCGGCGGUGCCUCGAGCCCCAGCGGGGCUGCGCUACCUCCCCUGGCAGUUGCUGGGUCCCCGCCUGUUACAGUUGUGCGAAGGAGCGUGGCCCAUAACUGUGAUUGCUUUUUUGGCAUUUGCGAUUCCACUUGGAGUCACACAUUUGGCAGCCAAAAGGAUCGUUCUCGUGCGCUGAAGAUGCCAGUAGUCCCCCAGGAAGAAAAACCUCUUUGCUGGGCCCAGUAGUGAUGAAGGAGUGGCUCAGGAGCACGUGGCCAACUUCACUGUUAAAUAACAGCAUGAGAGAGAUUUAUUCUGAGCCUGUUAAGCUGGUCCUGUGUUCUACUUAGGCUUAGUCUUUUUAUCUUUACCCAUCUUCCUCCUCCAUAAGACCUACUAAACCAGUCAAAAGACAGGUUGUUGGGUGGGUUUUUUUGUCCUCCCUUCCAUUAAGCUUCUGUCAUACUUCACUGAAAACACUGCAAAUACGUGUUUGCUUCUCUGAAUUAGUAGAUGAGAGGGCAAAUAUGUUUUUUCAUUUCCUAAAUACAGUUGGCUGUGACUGCUUCCUUGACAGCCUUGAAUGUCAUCCAGGUCAAAGAUCCAGUGCUGGGGAGGAAGCUAAAGCCUUUGUGGGUCAUCCUGACCUUUUUUUAUUUGAACACAACAGCGUGGACUAUCAAGCUAUUUCAGGGAGGGACAUUAAAAGUACUCGGUGAAAGCAAGUUAACAGCAGGAGUGUGGGGGGAAUGAUUUCAGUUCAGGGUUGUUCUGCUGUUUUUCUAGGUAAGGCUUAUGUGAUGAGGAUGUUUAACUCGCUUGGUUUUGUCAUCCUGGGAUGGCUUUUGCUCCUUGCAACUUAAUUGCAACACCAAAAAAGCCCUAUAGUUAACUGUUGAGCACCUUUCUCCUUCAGUAAAGGUUGUGAGCUCUCGAAUCUUAAAAUAAAACAAAUAUUCUGGUGCUGAGGAGGAAAGAGAACAUUGCAUGAGGGCAAGGAAAAUUAGGCCACUUGGGGAAUGUGCUUUCAGGCCUAUUUCUGUCUGUCACAGCAAACUAAAAGGACACUAACUUUGAGGAAAGAGCUCUGUGACCCUUUGGUCCUUGCUCUGUUACUCUUUCCUCAUCUACAGACUCUGGACAUGGCAUCUGUGUCAGCCACUCACCUGCCUUUGCAACCUAUGGGCAAAUAGACCUGUGUUAAUGUGGGUGCAGUUCUCUGCUAAUUCUGCUCCGCUCUGGUGAGACCCCCCCUGCAGUGCUGCAUCCAGCUCAGGGGUCCCCAGCACAAGGAGGACAUGGAGCUGUUGGAGCGAGGCCAGAGGAGGCCACGGAGAUGCUGCGAGGGCUGGAGCCCCUCUGCUGUGGAGACCUCAGGCUGAGAGAGUUGGGCUGGUUCAGCCUGGAGAAGAGAAGGCUGCGCAGAGACCUUAGAGCCCCUUCCAGUCCCUGCAGGGGCUCCAGGAAAGCUGGAGAGGGGCUGGUGCCAAGGGCAGGGAGUGCCAGGCCAAGGGGAAUGGCCUGAAGCUGCAGGAGGGCAGAUGGAGAUGGGAUGUGAGGCAGAAAUCCUUCCCUGUGAGGGUGCUGAGGCCCUGGCACAGGGUGCCCAGAGAAGCUGUGGCUGCCCCUGGCUCCCUGGCAGGGUUCAAGGCCAGGUUGGAUGGGGCUUUGGGCAACCUGGGCUAGUGGAGGGUGUCCCUGCCCGUGGCAGGGGUGGCACUGGGUGGGCUGGGAGGUCUCUUCCCACCCAAACCAUUCUAAAAUUCUGUGAUUUAGGACUACUACGGUCAAGUGACCGGUCAAGUGCCAACAUCACAAGUGCCAAGAGAAUAAAACUUUAAGAGAACUUCGAUUAGAAGAACCUUUACUUUAAGCUUGGCUCAUGUUUUAGUUAAUGUCAUCUAUAAACAUUUAGAAGAGAGAUGGUUUUGGCAAAUAAAGCAGCCAUUUAGAAAGGCAGCCAGCAAGGAGUGCAGCUGAUGCUCUUGGUACUGCAGCAGAAACCUCCCUGACUCAAUCUCACACAAACUCAUUUUUCUUAAAUAAAACUACUUCCAAGCCA